rnacentral:rRNA from 1 species
AUGAACGCUGGCGGCGUGCCUAAUACAUGCAAGUCGAGCGAACAGAUGAGGAGCUUGCUCCUCUGACGUUAGCGGCGGACGGGUGAGUAACACGUGGAUAACCUACCUAUAAGACUGGGAAAACUUCGGGAAACCGGAGCUAAUACCGGAUAAUAUAUUGAACCGCAUGGUUCAAUAGUGAAAGACGGUUUUGCUGUCACUUAUAGAUGGAUCCGCGCCGCAUUAGCUAGUUGGUAAGGUAACGGCUUACCAAGGCAACGAUGCGUAGCCGACCUGAGAGGGUGAUCGGCCACACUGGAACUGAGACACGGUCCAGACUCCUACGGGAGGCAGCAGUAGGGAAUCUUCCGCAAUGGGCGAAAGCUUGACGGAGCAACGCCGCGUGAGUGAUGAAGGUCUUCGGAUCGUAAAACUCUGUUAUUAGGGAAGAACAAAUGUGUAAGUAACUAUGCACGUCUUGACGGUACCUAAUCAGAAAGCCACGGCUAACUACGUG